UACAGAGGGGGCAAGCGUUGUUCGGAAUUACUGGGCGUAAAGGGCGCGUAGGCGGCCUGCUAAGUCGAACGUGAAAUCCCCGGGCUCAACCCGGGAACUGCGUCCGAUACUGACAGGCUCGAAUCCGGGAGAGGGAUGUGGAAUUCCAGGUGUAGCGGUGAAAUGCGUAGAUAUCUGGAGGAACACCGGUGGCGAAGGCGGCAUCCUGGACCGGCAUUGAUGCUGAGGCGCGAAAGCCAGGGGAGCAAACGGG
rnacentral:rRNA from 1 species